AAGAAAAAUAAGAAACUAGAGGUCAAAAUGUAAUUUAAGAAAAAUAUACCAUGUAGAACAACCCAGUCACCAGCCCCGAUGAACCGGAGUUCACCACGUAGCAAGGCACACCAACUCAGUACCACACGUGAGACCAUGCUGGCAAUCUGCGUGCCCGUGAUCGAACAGUCCGGAUUUGUUCUCUCCUCAGGCACGAUCGGACAGUCGUGAUUAAAAGCAAUGAACGGUCCAGAUUAGUUCUUUCUUUAAACGCAAUCAUACGAUCCAAAUCAAAUUGCG
rnacentral:lncRNA from 1 species